rnacentral:rRNA from 1 species
AUUGAACGCUGGCGGCAGGCUUAACACAUGCAAGUCGAACGAGUGGCGGACGGGUGUGUAAUGCUUGGGAAUCUGGCUUAUGGCUGGGGAUAACUACGGGACACUGUCCUUAAUACUGCGUACCAUUGGCUUGGCCCAGGUUGGACGAGGUCGUUGGUGGGUUAAUGGCUCACCAAUACGACGAUCUCUAGCUGGUCUGAGAGGUUGACCGGCCACACCGGAACUGAGACACGGCCCGGACUCCUACGGGAGGCAGCAGUGGGGAAUAUUGCGCAAUGGGGGCAACCUGACGCAGCCACGCCGCGUGAAUGAAGAAGGCCUUCGGAUUGUAAAGUUCUUUCGGUGACGAUGCGUUAAUCACAGAAGAAGCACCGGCUAACUCCGUGCCAGCCGCCGCGGUAAUAC